rnacentral:rRNA from 1 species
AACCGACACAGGUGGUCAGGUAGAGAAUACCAAGGCGCUUGAGAGAACUCGGGUGAAGGAACUAGGCAAAAUGGUGCCGUAACUUCGGGAGAAGGCACGCUGACAUGUAGGUGAAGUGAUUUACUCACGGAGCUGAAGUCAGUCGAAGAUACCAGCUGGCUGCAACUGUUUAUUAAAAACACAGCACUGUGCAAACACGAAAGUGGACGUAUACGGUGUGACGCCUGCCAGGU